rnacentral:rRNA from 1 species
GGUUAAGCGAAUAAGCGUACACGGUGGAUGCCUAGGCAAUCAGAGGCGAUGAAGGACGUGCUAAUCUGCGAUAAGCGUCGGUAAGGUGAUAUGAACCGUUAUACCCGACGAUUUCCGAAUGGGGAAACCCAAUAUCCAAUGGAUAUUAUCAUUAACUGAAUACAUAGGUUAAUGAAGCGAACCGGGAGAACUGAAACAUCUCAGUACCCCGAGGAAAAGAAAUCAACCGAGAUUCCCCUAGUAGCGGCGAGCGAACGGGGAACAGCCCAGAGUCUUAAUCAACAGCAGCAUCAGGAGAACGGUCUGGAAAGUCCGGCAGUAAAGGGUGAUAGCCCCGUAUCCGAAGAUGCUGUUAUUGUGAACUCGACGAGUAGGGCGGGACACGUGUUAUCCUGUCUGAAUAUGGGGGGACCAUCCUCCAAGGCUAAAUACUCCUGAUUGACCGAUAGUGAACCAGUACCGUGAGGGAAAGGCGAAAAGAACCCCGGCGAGGGGAGUGAAAAAGAACCUGAAACCGUGUACGUACAAGCAGUAGGAGCCCCACCACUAAGCUAGUGGUGAACUCACAGCGAUUCUUUUGCAUGAUAAAGAGCGGUAGACGACGCGAAGUGACGUCCAACCAAUCCAAUCAGGCAGAGGAGGCUUAGUGGUGGGGUGACUGCGUACCUUUUGUAUAAUGGGUCAGCGACUUAUAUUCUGUAGCAAGGUUAACCGAAUAGGGGAGCCGUAGGGAAACCGAGUCUUAACUGGGCGAAUGAGUUGCAGGGUAUAGACCCGAAACCCGGUGAUCUAUCCAUGGGCAGGUUGAAGGUUGGGUAACACUAACUGGAGGACCGAACCGACUAAUGUUGAAAAAUUAGCGGAUGACUUGUGGAUGGGGGUGAAAGGCCAAUCAAACCGGGAGAUAGCUGGUUCUCCCCGAAAGCUAUUUAGGUAGCGCCUCGUGAACUCAUCUUCGGGGGUAGAGCACUGUUUCGACUAGGGGGUCAUCCCGACUUACCAACUCGAUGCAAACUGCGAAUACCGAAGAAUGUUAUCACGGGAGACACACGGCGGGUGCUAACGUCCGUCGUGAAGAGGGAAACAACCCAGACCGCCAGCUAAGGUCCCAAAGUCAUGGUUAAGUGGGAAACGAAGUGGGAAGGCUCAGACAGCCAGGAUGUUGGCUUAGAAGCAGCCAUCAUUUAAAGAAAGCGUAAUAGCUCACUGGUCGAGUCGGCCCGCGCGGAAGAUGUAACGGGGCUAAACCAUGCACCGAAGCUGCGGCAGCAACACUAAGUGUUGUUGGGUAGGGGAGCGUUCUGUAAGCCUGCGAAGGUGUACUGUGAGGUAUGCUGGAGGUAUCAGAAGUGCGAAUGCUGACAUAAGUAACGAUAAUGCGGGUGAAAAACCCGCACGCCGGAAGACCAAGGGUUCCUGUCCAACGUUAAUCGGGGCAGGGUGAGUCGACCCCUAAGGCGAGGCUGAAAAGCGUAGUCGAUGGGAAACGGGUUAAUAUUCCCGUACUGGUGGUAACUGCGAUGGGGGAACGGAGAAGGCUAGGUUGUCCGGGCGACGGUCGUCCCGGUUCAAGCAUGUAGGCAGAGUGAUUAGGCAAAUCCGGUCACUUAAUGCUGAGGUGUGAUGACGAGCCACUAAGGUGGUGAAGCAAUUGAUGCCCUGCUUCCAGGAAAAGCCUCUAAGCUUCAGGUUACCAACAAUCGUACCCCAAACCGACACAGGUGGUCAGGUAGAGAAUACUCAGGCGCUUGAGAGAACUCGGGUGAAGGAACUAGGCAAAAUGGUGCCGUAACUUCGGGAGAAGGCACGCUGGCGGUAAGUGAAGUCCCUCGCGGACGGAGCCGAAGCCAGUCGAAGAUACCAGCUGGCUGCAACUGUUUAUUAAAAACACAGCACUGUGCAAACACGAAAGUGGACGUAUACGGUGUGACGCCUGCCCGGUGCUGGAAGGUUAAUUGAUGGGGUUAUCCUUAGGGAGAAGCUCUUGAUCGAAGCCCCAGUAAACGGCGGCCGUAACUAUAACGGUCCUAAGGUAGCGAAAUUCCUUGUCGGGUAAGUUCCGACCUGCACGAAUGGCGUAAUGAUGGCCAGGCUGUCUCCACCCGAGACUCAGUGAAAUUGAACUCGCUGUGAAGAUGCAGUGUACCCGCGGCAAGACGGAAAGACCCCGUGAACCUUUACUAUAGCUUGACACUGAACAUUGAGCCUUGAUGUGUAGGAUAGGUGGGAGACUAUGAAGUGUGGACGCCAGUCUGCAUGGAGUCAACCUUGAAAUACCACCCUUUAACGUUUGAUGUUCUAACCUAGGCCCGUAAUCCGGGUCGGGGACCGUGUCUGGUGGGUAGUUUGACUGGGGCGGUCUCCUCCUAAAGAGUAACGGAGGAGCACGAAGGUUGGCUAAGCAUGGUCGGACAUCAUGCGGUUAGUGCAAAGGCAUAAGCCAGCUUGACUGUGAGAGUGACGGCUCGAGCAGGUACGAAAGUAGGUCUUAGUGAUCCGGUGGUUCUGAAUGGAAGGGCCAUCGCUCAACGGAUAAAAGGUACUCCGGGGAUAACAGGCUGAUACCGCCCAAGAGUUCAUAUCGACGGCGGUGUUUGGCACCUCGAUGUCGGCUCAUCACAUCCUGGGGCUGAAGUAGGUCCCAAGGGUAUGGCUGUUCGCCAUUUAAAGUGGUACGCGAGCUGGGUUUAGAACGUCGUGAGACAGUUCGGUCCCUAUCUGCCGUGGGCGUUGGAAGAUUGAGAGGGGUUGCUCCUAGUACGAGAGGACCGGAGUGAACGCACCACUGGUGUUCGGGUUGUCAUGCCAAUGGCAUUGCCCGGUAGCUAAGUGCGGAAGAGAUAACCGCUGAAAGCAUCUAAGCGGGAAACUUGCCUCGAGAUGAGUCUUCCCUGUCACCUUGAGUGACCUAAAGGAACGUUUAAGACUAAGACGUUGAUAGGCUGGGUGUGUAAGCGUAGCGAUACGUUGAGCUAACCAGUACUAAUGAACCGUGAGGCUUAACCUG